rnacentral:rRNA from 1 species
GUGCCAGCCGCCGCGGUAAUACCGGCAGCUCAAGUGAUGUCCCAUAUUAUUGGGCCUAAAGCGUCCGUAGCUGGCCGACCAAGUCUCCCGGGAAAUCCACCCGCCCAACGGGUGGGCGUCCGGUAGAAACUGGCCGGCUUGGAACCGGAAGGCUCAGAGAGUACGUCCGGGGUAGGAGUGAAAUCCCAUAAUCCCGCACGGACCACCGAUGGCGAAAGCACUUCGAGAAAACGGAUCCGACAGUGAGGGACGAAAGCCAGGGUCUCCAACCGGAUUAGAUACCCGGGUAGUCC